rnacentral:piRNA from 1 species
UCAUGAUCAUGCACAAUGUCGCAAAGG